rnacentral:lncRNA from 1 species
UAUUAUUCUCGUAAUAUAUUAAUAAAUCAUAUUUAAUCCUUUCUCUCCAUAAUUCAUCCUAUCAAGUUGCUUUGGUGAAGGCAACCCAAAAGGACCAUGCACCAUCGGGUCAAGUACAUACCAAAAUAGUUAUGGACUUAGACACUAAUCCAACAGUACCCUUGCAGUCCAGAAAUGGGGGAGGCGACCCACUACGCGGCGUGUACUGGGAUUACGCCCAACGUACAUCCCAAUUUCUUACUUCCUUAUUUUAAUGUCUUAAAUGGUUAAGACAUAACCCCACAUUUCAGAUCUAGCCAUUCUAAUACCUCUUAAUCCAUGAAGUCGAAACCUUUAAGCCUUUGCAUGGCUAUAAAGGUUCCCCACACCUUCUAACACCUUUCCUUUCUCCUCCAAAAGUCUAGAUCUCAUGCAUGGCUCAACAUUCACGUCCAAGAUUGCAUUUUUAUGAACAUACAACUCAUAUAGUCCAAGAAUAUGAUAGAUCUAGGCCAAUGGAAACUAUUUGCUCAUAAAGUCUCCAUCUUGGGACCAAAAACCCUAGAAAUUGGUCCAAGAAGCACACCACACAAACUACAAGGCAAGAUUUGAGCUUUUUACCUCAAGAAGAAGCUCCAACCUUUGUAGUCCUCAGAUCUACACUUGUCCACCAACUUCUAGCUUCCACAAUGGUCUCCUCUUCUCUUUCACCACCUUGAAAUGGCACUAUGAAGCUUAGAACACUCACACCCCAACUAAAAAUGAAGGAAAUCCUCUCUUAGGGUUUCUUUCUGAAAGAUGGUGGCUGAGGGACAAGACCAUCUCAUUCCUUUUAUAGCCCUCAAGUCAUAUUAGGGUUUUGAAUCUGGGUCGGUUACACCCGACGUAACCUUAGGUACGCCCAACAUACCCGGAUGAAACCACGUACAAAAUAAGCGCGCGAGUACGCGCAGCGUACUCCUUGAACGCCCAGCGUACUCACAACCUUAGUACUUAACACAAGGGACCUAAUAUGACAACUUGGAAAAGAUGAAGGGUUAAAUGGUUGAACCUGAAUUCUUGGAUGUUACAAUUCUCCCCCACUAGAACCAGACUUCGCCCUCGAAGUCUUACACCGAAAACAACUCCGGAUGCUGCUCUCGCAUCUCUGAUUCUGACUCCCACGUCAUCUCGGACCCCUUCCGAUGCUGCCACUGAACCUGCACCAAUGACACCUCCUUGUUCCUCAGAACCUUGAUCUUCUGAUCCCGAAUCGUGAUUGGUCUCUCGGCAUAAUUCAGGCCCGCAUCCACCUGAAUAUCCUCCAGUAGCACUACCACCGAAUCGUCGGCUAUACACUUCCUCAACUGUGACACGUGGAAGGUAUCAUGAAUCUGGCUCAACUCCGCAGGUAGAUCCAGACGAUAUGCUACUCUGCCUACUCUCGCAAUUACUCUAAGCGGCCAAAUAUACCGGGCCCCCAGCUUGCCCCUCUUCCUGAAACGGAUCACUCCUUUCCAAGGAGAUACCUUCAGGAGCACAAAAUCACUGACCUGGAACUCAAGCUCAGAUCGUUGCCUAUCCGCAUAACUCUUCUGGCGACUCUGAGCGGUCAACAACCUCUGUCGGUCCUGUUGUAUCUGCUCUGUCGUCUGAAGCACAAUCUCUGUACUACCCAUCACGCGUUUCCCUACUUCUCCCCAGCAAAUGGGGGUCCGACACCUCCGCCUAUAUAACAGCUCAAAGGGUGGCAUACCAAUGCUCGAGUGAUGGCUGUUGUUAUAGGAAAACUUAGCCAAGGGAAAAUACAUGUCCCAACUCCCUUCGAAAUCCAAUACAUAUGCCCGAAGCAUAUCCUCGAGUGUCUGAAUCGUCCGCUCACUCUGCCCGUCCGUUUGUGGGUGGUAUGCGGUACUGAAAUGCAGCCUCGUACCCAACUCCUCGUGAAACUUCUUCCAAAAUCUGGAAGUAAAUCGCACAUCUCAAUCUGAAACAAUCGAGAUCGGAACUCCAUGUAGCGAUACCACCUCCCUCACAUACAACUCUGUCAGCCUCUCCGCAGAAGAGCUCUCACUGAUAGCAAGAAAGUGAGCGCUCUUCGUCAAGCUGUCCACAAUCNAAAGUGAGCGCUCUUCGUCAAUCUGUCCACAAUCACCCAAAUUGCAUCGACACCUCUAGCAGUCCUUGGCAAUUUGGUGAUAAAAUCCAUGGUAAUCUGCUCCCACUUCCACUCGGGAAUCUCUAAUGGCUGUAACUUACCAUGCGGGCGUUGGUGCUCGGCCUUAACCUUGCGACAUGUCAAGCACCUCUCUACGAACCAUGCAACAUCCCUUUUCAUACCUGGCCACCAAUACUCCUUCGGGUCCAAAUACAUCUUAGUGGCCUCGGGAUGGAUCGAGAACCUCGACCUAUGGGUCUCCUCCAUCAAGAUGGUACGCGCUCCUCCCAGAAAUGGUACCCAAAUCCGGCCCUGAAAAGUUAUAAGUCCUUGAAAAUCAGUAACGAACUCCGAUACCUGCCCGAUCACCCGCUCCCUUUUGCGGUUCUCCGGUCUCACGGCCUCCACCUGAGCCCCUCGAAUGGUGUCCAACACCGGAGUCAUCACUGUCAACCUCAUACAAACGUCUUGAAUUGGGGCGCUCACCGCCCUACGGCUCAAAGCAUCGACUAUAACAUUAGCCUUGCCCGGGUGGUACAAGAUCUCACAAUCAUAAUCCUUUACCACAUCCAACCAUCUCCUCUUGCGCAUAUUCAGGUUGGGCUGAUCUAUCAAGUACUUCAGACUCUUGCGGUCUGUCUAUAUGGUACACCGAACCCCAUACAGAUAGUGACGCCAGAUCUUGAGAGCAAACACCACAGCCCCCAGCUCCAGGUUGUGGGUGGGAUAUCUCGACUCAUGAGGCUUCAGCUGCCUCGAUGCAUAUGCUAUCAUGUGCCUCCUCUGCAUAAGCACUGCUCCCAAUUCGGAUAUCGAUGUAUCACAAUAUACCAUGAAAUCCUCAUGGUACACCGAACCCCAUACAGAUAGUGACGCCAGAUCUUGAGAGCAAACACCACAGCCCCCAGCUCCAGGUUGUGGGUGGGAUAUCUCGACUCAUGAGGCUUCAGCUGCCUCGAUGCAUAUGCUAUCAUGUGCCUCCUCUGCAUAAGCACUGCUCCCAAUUCGGAUAUCGAUGUAUCACAAUAUACCAUGAAAUCCUCAAUCCCUUCCGAAAGGGCUAACACCGGGGCUUCGCAUAAUCUCUGGCGAAGUGUCUCGAACGAGGUCUGCUGCUCCGGACACCAUGAAAAUGCAACACCCUUCCGGGUCAACUUGGUAAGUGGCACGACGAUCUUGGAGAAAUCCUUAAUAAAUCUCCGAUAAUAACCGGCCAAUCCCAGAAAGCUCCUGAUCUCAGUGGGCGAUCUCGGCACCUCCUACCUAAUGACUGCCUCAAUCUUGGCCGGGUCGACCAAUAUCCCAUUCUGGUUGACGAGAUAUCCCAAGAACUGAACCUCUCAUAACCAAAAAUCACACUUGGAGAAUUUGGCAUAAAGCCUCUCCGACCUCAAUACCUCGAGAAUCUCUCUCAGAUGCUCCUCGUGCUGCUCUCUAGAUUUCGAAUACACCAAAAUAUCAUCAAUGAAUACGAUCAUCGACCGAUCCAGCAUUGGCCUGCACACCCUGUUCAUAAGAUCCAUGAAAGCAGCUGGUGCAUUGGUGAGCCCAAAAGGCAUCACCAUGAACUCAUAAUGCCCAUAACGAGUUCUGAACGCUGCCUUCUAGAUAUCUUCAUCCCGAACCCUCAUCUGAUGAUAACCCGAUCUCAAAUCUAUCUUGGAGAACCAAGACGCUCCCUGCAACUGAUCGAACAGAUCGUCGAUCCUCGGUAACGGAUAAAGGUUCUUGACCGUCAACUUGUUCAACUCCCGGUAAUCAAUCUGGUGUGAACCAUCCUUCUUCUUGACAAAAAGGAUCGGCGUUCCGCAAGGUGAGCUACUCGGUCUAAUAAACCCCUUUCCCAACAGCUCCUGAAGCUGUGAGGAUAACUCCUGCAUCUCUGGUGGCGCGAGGCGAUAAGGCGCCUUGGCAAUAGGUGCUGCUCCCGGAACCAAAUCGAUACGGACCUCCACUUGCCUCUCGGGAGGCACACCCGAUAGUUCCUCGGGAAAAACAUCCGGAAAUUCGCACACUAUCGGAACCUCAUCAAUUGAACUUGGCCUCCUAGCGGCCACUCGUGUGUCCAUCACAUAGGCUACGAAUCCACUGCAGCCUUGCUGCAAACUCUAUCUCACCCCGACAGCCGAACAAAACGCUGACCCACAUCAGGUCCCCUCACCAUACACCAUAAGCACUCCCCCACUAGGGUCUCGUAUCGUCACCAACUGAUGCUCGCAGUCUAUAACAGAUCCAAAUCGGCUCAACAAAUCCAUGCCCACUAUAACACACACGUCCCCCAUCGCAAUCGGGACCAGAUCUAUUGGGAACUCCACACCGAAAAUCUCAAGGAUACAUCCUCGAAUCACAUCCGUAGCAUACACUGCUCGAUCAUCAACUAUGGAAACUCGCAGAGGUCGACUCAAAGCCUCUCGACAGAUACUAAUGUGUUGACUAAAUGCCAAAGAAACAAAUGAACGACUCGCACCCUAGUCAAAUAACACACCAAAGCAGGUACAUAACUCACAAGAAAAGUACCUACGCAUAUCAUCAUAUAAGCACAAUAUCUGAAAUAAAAGAUAAAAUACAUAAUACAUACCAUCCACAACAUCAGGCGCAGCGCGGACCUCCUUCGCAAUCAACUGGAAAGCUCUCCCACGAGCCUUCAGAGCCUCGGCCUUCACCGGUCGAACCUCGGUAACCCUAGCAGCAGGUGCAGAUCCCUGAUGCAACUGUGGACACUCGGACUUCCGAUGGCCAGUCUGGUUGCAAUGAAAGCAAACCAUAAAUCCCUUGGGGCUAUCCUUGGCGAUAUUCCCCUCCUUGCCACAUUUGUAACAAGCACCUGAUCGACAGACCCCUUCAUGAACCUUGCCACACUUCCCACAAGUGCGGACCUUCUGGCCUCCAAUCCUCGAAUCAGCGGACUUGGUCCGCUUGGCUGCUGGCUAAGACUGAGCCGGCCGCCGAUCCAUCCUCGGAGACUCGACCUCCUCCCUGUCCUGAGUCUCCAACUCAAUCUCCCUCUUCCGGGCAUUUUCCUGGAGCUCAGCAAAUUUCUGGUAUGUCGAGUUCGACACGAACUCCCGAAUGUCCCUCCUCAGAAUGCCCAAAUACCGGCUCAUCCGUGCCUGCUCAGUAGACACCUACUCAGGGUAGAACAUCGCUCUCUCAUUAAACUUCCGGGUGACCACAGUAACCGAAUCAUUACCCUGCUUGAGGGUCAAGAACUCAUGAACCAACCGUUCCCUUUUCACCGGGGGAACAUACUCGUCUCUGAACAUGGUGGUGAACCUCUCCCAGGUCACCGCUGAAAUCUCUGCAAGAGUGAAGUUCGCUGUCACGAACUUCCACCAAUCCUUCGCUUCCAAGCGAAGCUGGUUCAAAGCGAACCGUACCCUCAGAUGCUCCGGACAUGAACACGUAUAGAAGCAUCCCUCAAUAUCAGCAAUCCAUCUCAUCGUAGUGAUCGGGUCCCGCGUCCCAUCAAACUCGGGUGGCUUCGUGUUGCUGAACUCUCGGAACAGCAANNNNNNNNNNNNNNNNNNNNNNNNNNNNNNNNNNNNNNNNNNNNNNNNNNNNNNNNNNGCUGCAGCCUUAGUCACCGAGGCGUACCGCUCAUCGAAAGUCUCAAUCAGUGUGGUCUUGAUAGACCCAAACAUCUCCGGAAUCUCAGCCCUGAUCGCCGCAGCUACCUUAUCGUGGAUCAUCUGACGAAGCUCCUCGUCCCUCACACCGCUCGCCACAGGUCUAUGGUGUGUCCCAACCAUGAUGUCUCUGAAAUAUAACACAACAAUUUCAAAGACUCAUUCGAGCAUGCUUGCAUUCGAUAACUCAACCCUACUUGAUCCUUAGUAUCCAAAGGAUGCUUACUUAGAGUGCACACUGCUCCGGUGUCUUCGGUAGUACGGGCCCUUAUACUACCGCCUGCACCGCAUCAGUAUUCACCCUAAGUCCUCCUCCUUGGAUCCCAGAUCACAGGUACUUUGUAUCUCGCUGGCAUAGGCUACCCUUCGGUAGACCUCUUAUCAGCCCCUCACUGCUACCUACUCGCUCUCAAGCAUCACAUAGCAGCACAAACCUUCCUAGGCUAAGGCAUCACAAAAUCAGGCCACUCUAGUCCUAAUAUGAAUACCUAGCCAACUCUAGCAUGCAUAAUAUAACAUGUCAUAUCUCAUAACACAAAACAUAAGGGCAUUUUGGGGAUUCACCGUUCGGGCGUUGGAUGACCGUACACACUGCUCCGCUCUGGUUGUCUCAAUACCUCUUGCUUUUUAGAAAAAUUAAUUUUUUUAUCGUUUGAAAAUUUUCUCAAGUCCUCGGUCUGAGUUCAGUUACGCCCGAAGGUGCAUCCGAAUCCCUCAAACCAAGGCUCUGAUACCAACUUGUAACGACGAAAUUUUCAAAACAAUUUUUUUUUUUCAUUUUUCAACAACCAAAUUUAUAUUUAACAUUCUGAAAACAUGUGUUCCACAAUAGUUAUCAAAAUAGUAUAUAUCCCAAGAUCACAAAUAAAAUCCCCUGACUGUGUGUACGGAUCACGCCGACGCCUUCCCACGGUCCUCGCUAGUACCUGAGACACAUAACACAACAACUGUAAGCAUAAAUGCUUAGUGAGUUCCCCAAUAUACCACUUACACACAUACGCCUUUCCAGGCCAUACUCCACACGACCUUCCGGUCCAUGUGUCUCAGGGGACUUCCGUCCCAACCCGGUAAACCUUCCGGUCCUACCUGUGUCGACCUUCCGGUCCAUAAUUUCCCUGACCUUCUGUUCCACAUCAUAAUGCCUUCCGGCCCAUAUCAAACAUAGCAUCCGUAUCACAUACAUAGUGCAUACAAAACAGGCAACUCAAAGCAUACGAUACAUAUAUCUCAUAGCAUACCAGACCUUUCGGUCACACAUAAGUACCCUUCCAGGUACAGUAUAGUGAGAAGACUCACCUCAUAUGAUGUCUAAAAUCUCACGUGCUCGAUAUCCCUGAAUCUCGAAACGAUGACCUAGCCUCGCCUAAUCACAACAAAUAAUCAUUCCAAUCAUUAACGACUUUCAAGACUAUGCUACACCCCUUUCCACUAUUCCACAGAAGGGUAAAAGACCAUUUUACCCUCCCCUAACUCAAAAGUCCACAUGUUGACCAAAACCCUAAAAGUCAACAAAAGUCAACAACAAGCAGUAUGCGGGGCGUACCAGCUCCUAUACACGAGGCAUACCCUUGCACUCCAGAAACGGGGGACGCGACCCACUACGCGGCGCGUACUGGGAUUACGCCCAGCACACAUCCCAGUUUCUUACUUCCCCAUUUUAAUGUCUUAAACGAUUAAGACAUAAGCCCACAUUUCAGAUCUAGCCAUUCUAAUACCUCUUAACCCAUAAAGUCGAAACCUUUAAGCCUUUGCAUGAAUAUAAAGGUUCCCCACACCUUUUAGCACCUUUCCUUUCUCCUCCAAAAGUCUAGAUCUCAUGCAUGGCUCAACAUUCACGUCCAAGAUUGCAUUUUUAUGAACAUACAACUCAUAUAGUCCUGGAAUAUGAUAAAUCUAGGCCAAUGGAGACUAUUUGCUCAUAAAGUCUCCAUCUUGGGACCAAAAACCCUAGAAAUUGGUCCAAGAAGCACACCACACAAACUACAAGGCAAGAUUUGAGCUUUUUACCUCAAGAAGAAGCUCUAACCUUUGUAGUCCUCAGAUCUACACUUGUCCACCAACUUCUAGCUUCCACAAUGGUCUCCUCUUCUCUUUCACCACCUUGAAAUGGCACUAUGAAG